CGUCCUUCUAUCGCAAGUUCCGCCGCCUGAUAUCGCCCGACGGCAAGUUUUGUCGACUGAUGUCCUCCGACCGCAUGUCCUACGGCUGCGUGUCCUCCUCACUUUCUUCCAGCACUAACUAGGAUUUGGAUGCAGUGUUAGGAGUGCAAGUUCUCGCACCCUAAUCAGGAUAUUCUCCUCAAGCAUUACCGACUUUGCCACUACCGGGGACGCUUCUGGCCACUGCCGUGCCUGUACACUGACUGCUGCUGCACUUUCAAAACAAGCGAUAUAUGCUGAGUUUUUUUGAAUCACUCAAGUGGAUCUAAAGAAGACAUUCUUCACAUCUUUGGAUGCACACGCCUCAAACCUGAUAAAGCUUUACAGAACACGUAGCAGGACACUAGGAAAGGACUUAAAGGCCCUCCUUGACAACCUUGAUGAACAGACAACCAAUGUGCUUGCACAAAGGAAGGCCACAGCUCUCCGAGGUCUACCUCUCUAUUUGAGGGAGAAUCCAGGCAACGUCCUGAAGACAUGUCUGACUCGGAGGAAACGUCCGUUGCAGGUGUUCAACUUGGCAUAGUCACCAUUGUUGAAGAUGAUGUUGGGAGAGCUCACUCAAUGCCCAGAACAAUCAACAUUGCCCUUGUCAUCGAGGAAAAGGUUGUUGUGGAGGACAUCUCUGACAUCAGUACAGCCAUUGUCCUUCUCUUUGGAUGCAUCUACAACCUCAACCUGGACUACCCCAAAGGGUUGAGGUACACUUUUGAGGCCCUUCAAAAGAUUUUUAUGAACCUUGGCACAGAGUGUUCUGCCCGUGUUCAGGCUCUGAAAAACAACUUGUUAAAGUAGCCCGAUACCAUGACACAUAGACAUGUGUUCAAUGCACAUAUUUGCACACAUUGACAUGUCACUUUAUUCCUCAAAAUAUGUUUUUAAGUUCAGUAGUAGCUACACAAAUCCCAUGUUCCCAUUUGAAGUUAGUGUUUACUAACUGCUGGAUUUGUUUGUCUCUGAAACUAAACACGUUUGUGUCUUGUUACACGUUUUUAUGGAUGCACUUUCUAUAGACAUGUCACUUUAUUCCUCAAAAUAUGUUUUCAAGUUCAGUAGUAGCUACACAAGUUUGUGUAGUGUUGCUACGAAUCCCAUGUUCCCAUUGGAAGUUAGUGUUUACUAAGUGCUGGAUUUGGUUAUCUCUGCAACUGAACACGUUUGUUUCUUGUUACAUGUUUUUUAUGGAUGCACUUUCUUCACUGCUGGGUUUGGCCAGUGGUUUCCUCAAGUAUCUGACUAACACAUGUUUUGUGAUGCAUAGUGUCAAUCAUACUGUUUUCUAUAUUAUAGCUAAAGUAUUGAGAGCUGAUUCUGCACUUUGUUAUGUGUUUACAUAUUCUAUCUUUGAAAAUAAUUGUAUAAUGUUACCAAGUUCACUUAAGCAUCCCUGCUGCUGCAAUUUCAAUGUUGCCUUUUUUGUAGUUAUUGGAUGUAUAUAAUGUUAACCCCUGUGUUCUUAAUAAACAGAUUCUUUAUAGAA